rnacentral:rRNA from 1 species
AGUGAACGUUGGCGGCGUGGAUUAGGCAUGCAAGUCGAGCGAGAACCGUAGCAAUACGGGGACAGCGGCGAAAGGGACAGUAAUGUGUAGGUACCUACCCCGAGGUCUGGGAUAGCUGCGGGAAACUGCAGGUAAUACCGGAUAAUGUCUUCGGACCAAAGGUGUGAUUCCACCUUGGGAGGGGCCCGCAUCCUAUUAGCUAGUGGGCGGGGUAACGGCCCACCAAGGCGACGAUGGGUAGCGGGUGUGAGAGCACGACCCGCGUCAUUGGGACUGAGACACUGCCCAGACACCUACGGGUGGCUGCAGUCGAGGAUCUUCGGCAAUGGGCGCAAGCCUGACCGAGCGACGCCGCGUGCGGGAUGAAGGCCUUCGGGUUGUAAACCGCUGUCGUAGGGGAGGAAAUGCAGGUGGGUUCUCCCUCCUGUUUGACCUAUCCUAGGAGGAAGUACGGGCUAAGUUCGUGCCAGCCGCCGCAGUAA